rnacentral:rRNA from 1 species
GACGAACGCUGGCGGCGUGCUUAACACAUGCAAGUCGAACGGAAAGGCCUCUUUCGGGGGGUACUCGAGUGGCGAACGGGUGAGUAACACGUGAGUAACCUGCCCUUGACUUUGGGAUAACUUCAGGAAACUGGGGCUAAUACCGGAUAGGAGCUCCUGCUGCAUGGUGGGGGUUGGAAAGUUUCGGCGGUUGGGGAUGGACUCGCGGCUUAUCAGCUUGUUGGUGGGGUAGUGGCUUACCAAGGCUUUGACGGGUAGCCGGCCUGAGAGGGUGACCGGCCACAUUGGGACUGAGAUACGGCCCAGACUCCUACGGGAGGCAGCAGUGGGGAAUAUUGCACAAUGGGUGGAAGCCUGAGGCAGCAACGCCGUGUGCGGGAUGACGGCCUUCGGGUUGUAAACCGCUUUCGCUCAUGACGAAGCUUUGUGUGACGGUAGUGGGUAAAGAAGCACCGGCUAACUACGUG